UUCUCUUCUCUAUUCUUCCAUUCUUUGUCGACCCGUAAACAGAGAAUGAUAGGUGUCGUCUUGUAUAUAUAACCUGAAUAAUGUCUCGAUUAUCUGCGAGCUUUUUUUCAUUAUAGUUCUUCAGUUUCUUAGUCCUAGAAUGUUUAAUUAGGACUCCGAAAAUGGAGCAGUAAGUUAUUACAGUUUGUUUUUGUUUGUGUCUCAAAGUUUUUCAGAAAAGUGAAACAUAUGUUCCAUGACUUAACAUGUUUUGUGUCGGCAACGACUUUUAAGUUUCGAAUGAUUUUGUAAACAAUUUUUUGAAUAGUAGUAAGUAGUAUGAUCUAACGAAACUAAUCAUUUUGACUCUUUAAUAGCCUUUGACUUCGAGAGUAGCGAGAGAGAGAGACUUAUUGACUUCAUACCUACCACUUAUUAACUAUGUUAUCUAUUCCCAAAGAUUGAGCUUUGGAAUUGACGUAUUCAAGCUUUGCCUCUACUAUAACCAAAAGCAAGAGAUAAAUUAACUUGCUCUAACCAGAAAAGCUCGUCUUUAAACAAUAGAGGCGACUAGAGGAAAAUACAUUUUUUUUUGUUUGCAUCUAUUGUGUAUCAAAACUAGAAUCGAAUUUAACUGAUGAGCUAAAUUAGCUAAACACAAUAUAGUAACGUGAUUAAUGUUGAAAUUCAGAAAUGGAACUAGAUUAUUAAAUUUUAACACCAAAAAGACUGUCCACCAAUUGAAUGCAUAGUCCUUUUUAUAGUGAAAAAAUGUCCCAACCCCAACCUACCAAAUUCCCAAAAGAAUCAUAUUCUUCCUGUUGUAUUUGAAUUUUGAGUUUUGAGCAACACAAUAACAACUUUUAAUUAGAUUUUAUUUUCUUUUUAAUGAAAGAUGACUUAUCCAAAAUAGUUUGAUGACUUGGUCUUUUCUUGCAAACUAAAAUUUUUGUCUGAUACUCUCUUGUUAGUCAUUUCAACUCAGUUUGUAGAAACCAUCGUUAUUACUUAUUAAUGCCGAAAAUCUGCCAUGGAACCAAAUCAUUAAAUUUAACAAAGAACUGUCCAAAAAAGGGUAAUUUAAAGAUAAAUUAUUUUCAUUACAACAGUAUUAAUGUAUUAGAAUUAUUAAAUAUAAAACAAAUUAGCAAAAUUAAAGAAACAAUAUGAAAAUAGUAGGCAAAACAUAAGCAAAACAAAUUUUGGUCAAAAAUAGAAAUUUAAGGUUCAAAGUUGAGAUAAAUAAAUGAUUAUUGAUAUAGAAACUAAACUACACACAAAACUGUACGUAAUAAUACAAAAUAUUACAAAAAC
rnacentral:sRNA from 1 species